rnacentral:rRNA from 1 species
UACGUAGGUGGCAAGCGUUGUUCGGAUUCAUUGGGCGUAAAGGGUGCGUAGGUGGCGCCGUAAGUCGGGUGUGAAAUUUCGGAGCUUAACUCCGAAACUGCAUUCGAUACUGCGGUGCUUGAGGACUGGAGAGGAGACUGGAAUUCAUGGUGUAGCAGUGAAAUGCGUAGAGAUCAUGAGGAAGACCAGUGGCGAAGGCGGGUCUCUGGACAGUUCCUGACACUGAGGCACGAAGGCCAGGGGAGCAAACGGG